GACGAACGCUGGCGGCGUGCUUAACACAUGCAAGUCGAACGGAAAGGCCCUGCUUUUGUGGGGUGCUCGAGUGGCGAACGGGUGAGUAACACGUGAGUAACCUGCCCUUGACUUUGGAAUAACUUCAGGAAACUGGGGCUAAUACCGGAUAGGAGCUCCUGCUGCAUGGUGGGGGUUGGAAAGUUUCGGCGGUUGGGGAUGGACUCGCGGCUUAUCAGCUUGUUGGUGGGGUAGUGGCUUACCAAGGCUUUGACGGGAAGCCGGCCUGAGAGGGUGACCGGCCACAUUGGGACUGAGAUACGGCCCAGACUCCUACGGGAGGCAGCAGUGGGGAAUAUUGCACAAUGGGCGGAAGCCUGAUGCAGCAACGCCGCGUGCGGGAUGACGGCCUUCGGGUUGUAAACCGCUUUCGCCUGUGACGAAGCGUGAGUGACGGUAAUGGGUAAAGAAGCACCGGCUAACUACGUG
rnacentral:rRNA from 1 species